rnacentral:rRNA from 1 species
UUAAGCGACUAAGCGUACACGGUGGAUGCCCUGGCAGUCAGAGGCGAUGAAGGACGUGCUAAUCUGCGAUAAGCGUCGGUAAGGUGAUAUGAACCGUUAUAACCGGCGAUUUCCGAAUGGGGAAACCCAGUGUGAUUCGUCACACUAUCAUUAACUGAAUCCAUAGGUUAAUGAGGCGAACCGGGGGAACUGAAACAUCUAAGUACCCCGAGGAAAAGAAAUCAACCGAGAUUCCCCCAGUAGCGGCGAGCGAACGGGGAGCAGCCCAGAGCCUGAAUCAGUGUGUGUGUUAGUGGAAGCGUCUGGAAAGGCGCGCGAUACAGGGUGACAGCCCCGUACACAAAAAUGCACAUGCUGUGAGCUCGAUGAGUAGGGCGGGACACGUGGUAUCCUGUCUGAAUAUGGGGGGACCAUCCUCCAAGGCUAAAUACUCCUGACUGACCGAUAGUGAACCAGUACCGUGAGGGAAAGGCGAAAAGAACCCCGGCGAGGGGAGUGAAAAAGAACCUGAAACCGUGUACGUACAAGCAGUGGGAGCACGCUUAGGCGUGUGACUGCGUACCUUUUGUAUAAUGGGUCAGCGACUUAUAUUCUGUAGCAAGGUUAACCGAAUAGGGGAGCCGAAGGGAAACCGAGUCUUAACUGGGCGUUAAGUUGCAGGGUAUAGACCCGAAACCCGGUGAUCUAGCCAUGGGCAGGUUGAAGGUUGGGUAACACUAACUGGAGGACCGAACCGACUAAUGUUGAAAAAUUAGCGGAUGACUUGUGGCUGGGGGUGAAAGGCCAAUCAAACCGGGAGAUAGCUGGUUCUCCCCGAAAGCUAUUUAGGUAGCGCCUCGUGAAUUCAUCUCCGGGGGUAGAGCACUGUUUCGGCAAGGGGGUCAUCCCGACUUACCAACCCGAUGCAAACUGCGAAUACCGGAGAAUGUUAUCACGGGAGACACACGGCGGGUGCUAACGUCCGUCGUGAAGAGGGAAACAACCCAGACCGCCAGCUAAGGUCCCAAAGUCAUGGUUAAGUGGGAAACGAUGUGGGAAGGCCCAGACAGCCAGGAUGUUGGCUUAGAAGCAGCCAUCAUUUAAAGAAAGCGUAAUAGCUCACUGGUCGAGUCGGCCUGCGCGGAAGAUGUAACGGGGCUAAACCAUGCACCGAAGCUGCGGCAGCGACGCUUAUGCGUUGUUGGGUAGGGGAGCGUUCUGUAAGCCUGCGAAGGUGUGCUGUGAGGCAUGCUGGAGGUAUCAGAAGUGCGAAUGCUGACAUAAGUAACGAUAAAGCGGGUGAAAAGCCCGCUCGCCGGAAGACCAAGGGUUCCUGUCCAACGUUAAUCGGGGCAGGGUGAGUCGACCCCUAAGGCGAGGCCGAAAGGCGUAGUCGAUGGGAAACAGGUUAAUAUUCCUGUACUUGGUGUUACUGCGAAGGGGGGACGGAGAAGGCUAUGUUGGCCGGGCGACGGUUGUCCCGGUUUAAGCGUGUAGGCUGGUUUUCCAGGCAAAUCCGGAAAAUCAAGGCUGAGGCGUGAUGACGAGGCACUACGGUGCUGAAGCAACAAAUGCCCUGCUUCCAGGAAAAGCCUCUAAGCAUCAGGUAACAUCAAAUCGUACCCCAAACCGACACAGGUGGUCAGGUAGAGAAUACCAAGGCGCUUGAGAGAACUCGGGUGAAGGAACUAGGCAAAAUGGUGCCGUAACUUCGGGAGAAGGCACGCUGAUAUGUAGGUGAAGUCCCUCGCGGAUGGAGCUGAAAUCAGUCGAAGAUACCAGCUGGCUGCAACUGUUUAUUAAAAACACAGCACUGUGCAAACACGAAAGUGGACGUAUACGGUGUGACGCCUGCCCGGUGCCGGAAGGUUAAUUGAUGGGGUUAGCGCAAGCGAAGCUCUUGAUCGAAGCCCCGGUAAACGGCGGCCGUAACUAUAACGGUCCUAAGGUAGCGAAAUUCCUUGUCGGGUAAGUUCCGACCUGCACGAAUGGCGUAAUGAUGGCCAGGCUGUCUCCACCCGAGACUCAGUGAAAUUGAACUCGCUGUGAAGAUGCAGUGUACCCGCGGCAAGACGGAAAGACCCCGUGAACCUUUACUAUAGCUUGACACUGAACAUUGAGCCUUGAUG